rnacentral:rRNA from 1 species
GACGAACGCUGGCGGCGCGCCUAACACAUGCAAGUCGAACGGAGACAAGAGGAGCUUGCGUUUCUUUACUUAGGGGCAAACGUGUGAAUAACGCGUGUGUAACCUGCCCUGCUUUGGGGGACAAUAAGGGGAAACGGCUGCUAAUACCGCAUAAGCUCACGCAUCCUCAUGGGGCUUCGGGAAAAUGAUUUAUUGGGUUUAGGAUGGAAUCGCGUCCGCUUGUCUAGUUGGUGGUGUAACGGCCAGCCAAGGCGACGAUUUGUAGCCGGACUGAGAGGUUGAAAGGUCAGAUUGGGGAUGAGGCACAGCCCAGAAUCGUACGGGAGGGAGCAGUAGGGGAUAUUGCACAAUGGGGGAAAACGUGAUGAAGCGACGCCGCGUGGAGGAAGAAGGGUUUCGGAUUGUAAACUCCUGUGGUUAGGGACGAGAAUGACGGUACCUAAUAAGAAAGCACCGGCUAACUACGUG